rnacentral:lncRNA from 1 species
GGCGGCGGAGGCGAAGGGGCGGCGGGACCCGGGCCUGGCCCGUAUGUGUCCUUGGCGGCCUAGACUAGGCCGUCGCUGUAUGGUGAGCCCCAGGGAGGCGGAUCUGGGCCCCCAGAAGGACACCCGCCUGGAUUUGCCCCGUAGGCCCGGCCCGGGCCCCUCGGGAGCAGAACAGCCUUGGUGAGGUGGACAGGAGGGGACCUCGCGAGCAGACGCGCGCGCCAGCGACAGCAGCCCCGCCCCGGCCUCUCGGGAGCCGGGGGGCAGAGGCUGCGGAGCCCCAGGAGGGCCGGAGCCCUCAUGACUUCAGUGACCUGCUUCUGCCCCUCUAGGUCUAUCAGCCACAGUCUCUGCAUGUUUCCAAG